GAUGAACGCUGGCGGCGUGCCUAAUCCAUGCAAGUCGAACGGAGUAUCAGCAAUGUGCUUAGUGGCGAACGGGUGAGUAACGCGUUGGUGACCUGCCCCAAAGCGGGGGAUAACAGAUCGAAAGGUCUGCUAAUACCCCAUGUGGUCACGAGGGUUAGAGGCCUUGUGACUAAAGAUGCAAAUCGCUUUGGGUGGGGCCUGCGUCCCAUCAGCUUGUUGGUAGGGUAAUGGCCUACCAAGGCUACGACGGGUAGGGGGCCUGAGAGGGUGGCCCCCCACACUGGCACUGAAACACGGGCCAGACUCCUACGGGAGGCAG
rnacentral:rRNA from 1 species